CAGGACCAGCAGGCACACGGCAAGGCCGAUGGUCACCCACAGUGCCACAGGAGGGAACGAGAUGUUCGGAGCUGAAGCGGAGUAGAGGAUGGUAAUUCAACGGGAGGCAGUCGCAGCGAUGCCCCCCCACCGCCGACUGGUAGAUCGCGAGAGAGUGACAGCUUGAAAAGUAGAUCUUGGGGGUUGCAAGAAGCUGACUUCGAGCGAAGGGGGGACAACAAACUGGACUGGUCAACAGUGAGCUGCAGGGUUCGUAUAGAGACAGACAACACUACACUCUUCCAUUCACACCCCCACUGAGUGGGGCGAAAACCCAUGCUGCCUGCACCAAAGUGCGGCAAACGUGGAGGCUGCUUUUUUGAAGUGUCCUUUUGUGUUGUUGUUUGUUCUCUUCUUCAAACAGUCUUGGAACCCCUGUCCUCUUCAAACUUGUGUCAGUUACCAGGCAACACUCACGUUUUACCACCUGUGUCUCAUUUUCUCACUGGUUCAGAGUCAAUUUACUUCCUCUGUCUCUGUCCAAUCUUGUUGGCUCAUUUUGUUUGGUGGUUGCGUUUCACUGUUGUUCUUAGUUUGAUUUAAAAUGAGAAGGUUGUUCCAGCUGUGGGUGAGUGUUUACCUCACAGUCGAGAAGUUGCAUCUUUGAAUCUUAGCUCAGGCCUUCUUGCGGCACAUUUGCAUGUUCUUACAUUGAGUCAUCAACAGAGCGGGUGACUGACCUAAUAUUCAUGCAACACAACUAUGUUGCCCAUACUUUUAAUUAAUCCAUUCAUUUCAUUUACCAUUUAAAUUACAACACAUUAUUCAUCAGGAGUGGGAGUCAAAGAAAGUGAGCAGACAGACACAUUAUACAUACUACGAUGGACUCUUUCAGAGUAGGUCACCGAGCUGUCUGGGCAGCCUACGUGGCCACGCUUGAGUGUGCAGCGCCGAUGAUGGCGAGUGAUUAAAUUAAACACAGUUGACGAUAUUAAUAAAGGAAGCGGCACUAGUGUUUCCCUGUGUCUGUUCUGAUGGGGGGGAAAAAAAGUCAACUGAGCCAAGCUGAGUCCAAACCAGUGGGGGAAUAUUAAUGUCGCCUGAAAUUGAUGCGAAUCAUGGCGAGCUACCGUCCAUUUAAACAAGUAUCAUUAGGCGCGCAGGCGCAACUUGACUUAAUCACAACCAUUAAUGUGUUUUUUUUUUUACAUUAGCUUCUAAAGAUCCCAUCCUUCUGCAGGAGGCCACUGGGUGCUACUGUAUGUAUUAAGUCAGACAGUAGGUGUGCGGGGGCGGCACGGUGGUGCAGCUGUAGGGCGUUGACCUUCUAAGUUUUCAGGACUGGAGUUCAAAUCCCGGCAUCCCCAAUGUGGAGUUUGCAUGUUUCCUCAACCAUCCCAAAAACAAUCAUUAAUCGGAGACUCUAAAUUGCCCUCCAGUGUGAUUGUGAGUACGAAUGGUUGCUUGUUUGUAUGUGCCCUGCGAUUGUCUGAUAACCAAUGAAAGCUGGGAUUGGCUCCAGCAUUCCCGUGACCCUCGUGAGGAUAAGCGGCUCAGAAAAUGGAUUGAUGGAUAAAUGGGUGUGUGAAGCCAAACUCCAGUCCCGUGUGACUCUUGGUCUCCUCUUUACUUCCAUUCUACACUCAGUCAUCAAUCAGCGGUCUCCCGAGUUAGCUGGAGAAAAGAGGCUCCUAUCCCAAAAAUAAACUCUUUUCUCCCAUUAAUUGGAAACACCUCACAUUGGCAGACAAUGCUCUUUGAAUGCAGCCAGUCGCUAAUUCAGACUCCAAAAAUGGAGCCAUUUAGUGAGGCAAACUGCAAAUGUCCUUUGCAGCAUAAUAAUUCACGGUGUUAUCAGGUGGAGAGUUUAAACAUCAAAUAAACUGACUGGAUAAUUUAAUCAGCAAACUUUGAAGGUGUGCCCGGGCAUUCGCUUUUGGCUGAAAGGCCCGAGACUAAAAUGAUUUCGUAUUGCACAGAGACGGACGCCAGACCUUCUGAAAGCGAUCCCUCUUACAGGAUUUAGCAGGAGAGCCGCAUAAAAUGUCCACUGCCGGGUCCCGGCUGUCCCCCGUGAUAGUCCUUCCUGUGCAUCCAAAUGUUAUAUGUGCACAAUCAAUAACAAAAGAAGGCUUUUGUGCAUUAACAGCUGCCAUAAAUACAGCAAGUGAAAAAGGCAAGCGAGGGAGGACAGUGAAGACGGGCUUCCACCACACGAUGGAUGCACGUAAAGAAGAGACGUUGAUGAGAUGUCUGUCACAGCAGUGUCAGCUCACUGGCUGUGAUUAUGUUUGGCCAUUUACGCAUAUAGAAAUACUAUUAAAAACAAAGAGAAAA